GUCAAUUUCCAUACCACCCUGAAUGCGCCCGAUCUCGUCUGAUCUCGGAAGCUAAGCAGGGUCGGGCCUGGUUAGUACUUGGAUGAGAGAUGUUGAUGUUUCAUUGCAGAUAUUCAUC
rnacentral:rRNA from 1 species